CGAGCUUCGCCCGUGCUCGUUAAGGUGCUCGCUAGAGAAGUGAAAUCUGCUGUUAGCGAUGUUUAUGAGUAGGUUUGUGUUACAUAUGUGAAAUAUGUGAUUGCGUGGGUUUUUUGCGCUAAGGUGUACAUCCAGAGUACGAAGGAAGAAGGCAUGUAUGUGAAAACGGUGGCGCGAGCCUGCAUGGUUGAUGCUGCUCGUUAAAUCACGCGCGCUUGUGAAGGCCAGUUGAUCGUCCCAGAGAGUACGGUUUGUUUUGUUGUGUUGUGUUUCAUCCCGUUUUUGUUUUAUGGUCGAUCUUUUUUUUUAUGUACGACGUUGACUCCUUUACGUGGUGAGAUGGUCUCGAGGCGCACGGCGUCGCCGGAUUGGUCUGCGCCUGAGAGUCACGUGGGUUUCGAAGAGCAGCGCGUUUGUUUGGCGUGUUGUUGAUGGAAAGGGUGAUCAGAACCUGACAGUGAGCAAAGGCACGAGAGCAAUGCCCACGAGCUCGUGCCUCAUUUAGUUUUGUUGCCAAGUCAAGAAGAUCAUUCCUCAGCUGCUUGGCUGGGCUCAACACGAUAUUACAGAGAGGAUGAGAAGAAAAAAAAAGAGAGUGGGAGGCAGAGAUGAAGUCCAACAUUGCCACCGGCUCUCUUCCCCCUCUGCAAGUCCGUCUCUGCAUCGCUGGGAAGGGUGGGAGUGCACCAAGGCCAGCCAGGGUGAGGCGUCAUGGGCUUGAGAAGCAUCCUGAACCCCGCUCGGUCAACAGCACCUCUGGAGCUCAGAGCUCAGAGAGAAAUCAAUACAGGGAAAGAGAGACUGAUGCUGGAUCACCCAACCUAGCCCUGAGCCUUCAGGCCAGAUGACCUCCCACACACACAUGGUCAUACACGCUGACACACAUACAAAUACAUACUGACAUACAGCUAUGCUAUCUUUCACAAAAUCACACACACUCACGACUAGCACACACCUACACACGCAUGUGUUUGUGUGUCUGGUUUUCCUCGAGGCCAUGUUAUUUUGGAGCAGCCUCUACAAUCCAAACAAGCCUCAAUUAUUUUUUCCUGAAGAUGGCAAAGGUCCUCGCUUUGUGUUUCCCUCACUUUUUGCACCAUUUCUCUAUUUGUGUCCGUACAUGUCACCUUCCACCUCUGUGUGGCAAGAAAAAUCAUUCAGAUAUAUCAAAUAUCUACAAGGAUGGACUUCCUCCCCCGAGCAACUCAUUGCCUAUUCAGUGGCAAGACUUGAAAGAGGAAAGCAGCUGUAUCACGUUGCUGUGCUCCAGAAACUCUGCACCAAGAAACUCACUUUGUAAUUGCCAAUUCUUUCACAAUCAACCAGCUCACAACAUAGUCAGCAAAAGGGAGACCUUCUGGUUGCUGAACAUGAUGUGGACUUAAUAAGAGACAAAGUGUAAAAGACUGAAGAUCGCCCAGAAGAACAGUGAUGGCUGCUCAAAAAGUGAAUUCAAACUUCUGCUAAGACACAGGCCGGUUUUGCCAGCGAUAUAGACUAGGACAAGAGGACAAGGGAAGUGUGUCCCAACAGGAGUGUGUGAUGAGACAGACAGCACCUGCGUGAAGACAGUGAUGUUCAGCUGCUCUCAUUCUGCUCGAAAUCAGGAUUUCACCGUGGGACUCGAGAGAUUUUUGUGAAGUACAGAAUGAGUUUCUGCUGAACUUACCUUUACUCUCAGGUUGCUUUUGAUUAACAACACGGACAUUUCAUUCAUUUCUCUGGGUUAUUUCAGAACACUGGGCUGGAUACAGGAGGUAAGUAGAUCAAAAGUGGUAAGUAUGCAUAGAAGAUAUAUACAUAUAUAUA